rnacentral:rRNA from 1 species
UACGGAGGGUGCGAGCGUUUAAUCGGAAUUACUGGGCGUAAAGGGUGCGUAGGUUGUUUAAUAGUUAUCUGUGAAAGCCCUGGGCUCAACCUGGGAAGGCCGAUAAGACUGUUGGACUCGAGUAUGGGAGAGGGUAGUGGAAUUCCGGUGUAGCGGUGAAAUGCGUAGAGAUCGGAAGGAACACCAGUGGCGGAAGGCGGCAUCCUGGACCGGUAUUGACGCUGAUGCGCGAAAGCCAGGGGAGCAAACGGGG